rnacentral:rRNA from 1 species
CAGUAGCCGCGGUAAUACGGAGGGGGCUAGCGUUGUUCGGAAUUACUGGGCGUAAAGCGCACGUAGGCGGACUGGAAAGUCAGAGGUGAAAUCCCAGGGCUCAACCUUGGAACUGCCUUUGAAACUAUCAGUCUGGAGUUCGAGAGAGGUGAGUGGAAUUCCGAGUGUAGAGGUGAAAUUCGUAGAUAUUCGGAGGAACACCAGUGGCGAAGGCGGCUCACUGGCUCGAUACUGACGCUGAGGUGCGAAAGCGUGGGGAGCAAACAGGAUUAGAUACCCCCGUAGUCCCUGUCUCUUAUAC